AUCUGGUAGCACAGCUGGAUUAGAAAAUUUUUCCAAUUCAUCUAUUCUGACCUCAAAUUUGAAAUUCACUUUGAAUUUUCACUCUAGUGAAUAACCCUGCAUGUGUUUUAUCAAGAUCUGAUAAAUAGACAUGAUUGUGAAAACAUUGGGAAGCCUAUUCACUUCAUGAACAAUUGUUGGAGGAAGAGUUGUAAGAUUCUAAUGUAAUUGCAUUUAACCCCUUAAGGACCAAACUUUUGGAAUAAAAGGGAAUAAUGACAUGUCACACAUUUCACGUGUCCUUAAA